CACCACUAGCUUCGCCCCCUCCUCCUCUCCCUCCCAGUGCCCUCCGUGUGGUCGGCGGCGACCGGGAACGCCUCCCUGGGGCGCUCCGGCGAGCCCCGCGGCGGCGCACAUGGCGGCCGUGGUGGCGCCUCCCAGCACCGGCGCGCCCCAGCCGCGCCGUCCUGCCUCCGUCGGCCGCCGUCACCCCCCUCUCUACAUAAGCCUGACGCGUGGGCCCAUCUGUCCAACGCCGUCCGACCCUCCGUUCCCCUACACCUUCACCCCUACACCCAGUCCACAAACGCCGCUUGCAGAAGCCACCACCCGGUCCACGAACCGUGGACCACGGGUCCACGAAACUGUGCCAGAGCCGGCCCCCUCCCAUUGCGUCAGCCAGCGUGAAAACGCUAGGUGCUCCCGGUCUAGGACUUAUAUGGUGCUCUAAAUUCAUUCUUGAGGAAUGGGUAUCUGCACCGCUCUCCGUUGCGUAAGGUAAUCAGCGGGACCUUCAGAGUAAGGUCCACACACCAGAUGUCCGCAGCAAGAAACUCCUCGACCAGGUCAGGUCCGGUAAUAACUGAGCAAGCGAGGACAAAAGCAUCCUCGCAAGUCCUAAAGCUCUUUUUCCUUUUGAAAUUAGGAACUGUAACGAUGCUCAGAGGAGACAUAGUGCUAUAAAAAGGAUAAAAAUCUGCGCUACCAAAGUCUGAGGCAUAUCAAUUGUAACGUAGAGCUAGUAAGAAAGCCACUCAUCGUCCCAUCUAUUCUUUUGGGUAAAAGAAAGCUCGACUCUAUAAAUUUUCUUAUUCUCAUUCUUUCUUCGGGUUGUGAACAUGCAACAACCAAAAUGAGUCUCAAACACCUGAUCAUUAUCAUUGAACUGAACUCUCUUUCUCUGUAUGUGAAGUUCAAAAAACCUCGCAAAGCCAUCCACAUCAAUCACCCCACCGAAAGUACGAACAACCUAGAAGAACUUCGAAAGUGUCAUGAAGGCAUUUGGAGUAAGUUGAUGAAGCUUAGCUCUGUACCUAUCCAAAAUCUGAGGCAACAUCUUAUUGCACGGGAAUCUCAAGCCAGCUAUAAAGAAAUCCUAGAAAACAACAGCCUCGCUAGGUUGAGGAUCUAGAAUAAUUUCUUCACCAGGCAACCUCGCAACUCCUUCAGGAAGUAACCCUUGCUAAUGUAAAAAUCGAUUGUGAUAUGGGAAACAAGGGAAGUACCGAAAUGAAGCGUGGGCUCAAAAGUCUCUUUGCUAGUCAUGAGAUUCGAGGGAUCAGCUUCAAUGUUGGAUAAGUCUCCUCCCUCACUAUCAACACUAGAAGAAGCCUCCGGCUGUUGGGAACCCUCGGCAGCAUCUCCGCGCAGCCUCGAUUACUCUUCCAGCUCUUCAGAAGUCAUUAGCCUCGCAAUCUGCUUGGUAUGAGCCAGCUGACAAAAAAGCAAAAAAGAACAACUAAAACUUAAAGACAAGGAAACAAAUAAAGAGUGAAAGAAUAAAACAAAAUAAAGCAAAAGAAUAUCACCUUCGAGGCAGUAGAGAUUGUAAGUGUAGGAAGCACAAAUCUUAAAGAGCCAAAUAGCAGCAGAAAGGGAGCUCUCAGCAAGAUGCGAGGAUAGCCUCGAGAGACCCCCACCUUUUAUAGGGGAGGUAUCAGGUAUGAAAGGGCGCCUCGAACCAUGAUCCGAAGCCGAAGCGGCACCCAAUUAAAAAAUGACACGUAAGAAAUCCACAGUUGUCGUGGGAUCAUUUCUCCUCCGACGUUCGAGGGUGACUUUUUUUGGUAAGGCGAUCUCAAGGUUCGCGGGUUCGGCCCGUCGAAGUCAACCCUCGUCCUUGAGGUGCUACUGUUGGGGAUCGCCAAAAAGUUAAGCACCCUUGAACGACGGAUGAAGAUUUCAAACCUUAGCCCCGUCAUGUCGUACAUCAUGAACAUAGAGAGCGGAACUCUCCAACCUCGCAUGUUGUAUACUGAGUGCAAAACCAAUUAACCUCGCAUGAGACACUCCUCAUAACAAACUUGGAACCUUCGUACCUUCUCAAUCACCGAAAUGCUUCGAGGUUAAGGGAUGAUAACAGAAAUGGCUGGUCUUGCCGAGACUAACCCUCGAGUCUUCAGAAGGACUCGAAACAUUGUGUGUUACUUCUUGUGCAGGAAUGGAUAUGGAACAGUGCCACUCGAGGCUAGCUGUUUCAUCGAGACGUUACGAAGCUGGCACCUCGAGGCUAGGCAUUAAGCUCAGGAUGCAGAUGAAGUCCCAAGGCUAGCAAGUAGGAGGCAUGAGAAACGUGAACACGUGAAGAAGUUCAAUUUGUACACGUGUUCCCUAAAGAUCUUUAUAUAUGGCAUAUUCUAAGAAUGCAGUGGUUGAGUGAGAAUAUUUUAGGAAUGUAAAGUAGGCCAAAUGUUACUAUAAAAGGGAAGUCCUACCCCAUUGUAAAGGGAGAUUACUUUUUAUA